AACGAGAAAGGGGAGCAAUCCCUGAGUAAAGUGGCGACCGGGUGAGUAACACGUGACUAACCUGCCUUCGAGUGGGGGAUAACCUCGGGAAACCGGGGCUAAUACCGCAUAAUGCCUUCGGGUUAAAGGAGCAAUUCGCUUGAAGAGGGGGUCGCGGCUGAUUAGCUAGUUGGCGGGGUAACGGCCCACCAAGGCGAUGAUCGGUAGCCGGCCUGAGAGGGCGCACGGCCACACUGGAACUGAAACACGGUCCAGACUCCUACGGGAGGCAGCAGUGGGGAAUUUUGCGCAAUGGGGGAAACCCUGACGCAGCAACGCCGCGUGGAGGAUGAAGUCCCUUGGGACGUAAACUCCUUUCGACCGGGACGAUAAUGACGGUACCGGUGGAAGAAGCCCCGGCUAACUUCGUGCCAGCAGCCGCGGUAAUACGAGGGGGGCGAGCGUUGUUCGGAAUUAUUGGGCGUAAAGGGCGCGUAGGCGGUGCGGUAAGUCACCUGUGAAACCUCUGGGCUCAACCCAGAGCCUGCAGGCGAAACUGCCGUGCUGGAGGGUGGGAGAGGUGCGUGGAAUUCCCGGUGUAGCGGUGAAAAUGCGUAGAUAUCGGGAGGAACACCUGUGGCGAAAGCGGCGCACUGGACCACUUCUGACGCUGAGGCGCGAAAGCUAGG
rnacentral:rRNA from 1 species